rnacentral:rRNA from 1 species
GGGUUGUGAGGUUAAGCGACUAAGCGUACACGGUGGAUGCCCUGGCAGUCAGAGGCGAUGAAGGGCGUGCUAAUCUGCGAUAAGCGCCGGUAAGGUGAUAUGAACCGUUAUAACCGGCGAUACCCGAAUGGGGAAACCCAGUGUGAUUCGUCACACUAUCAUUAACUGAAUCCAUAGGUUAAUGAGGCGAACCGGGGGAACUGAAACAUCUAAGUACCCCGAGGAAAAGAAAUCAACCGAGAUUCCCCCAGUAGCGGCGAGCGAACGGGGAGGAGCCCAGAGCCUGAAUCAGCAUGUGUGUUAGUGGAAGCGUCUGGAAAGGCGCGCGAUACAGGGUGACAGCCCCGUACACAAAAGCGCAUGUGCUGUGAGCUCGAUGAGUAGGGCGGGACACGUGGUAUCCUGUCUGAAUAUGGGGGGACCAUCCUCCAAGGCUAAAUACUCCUGACUGACCGAUAGUGAACCAGUACCGUGAGGGAAAGGCGAAAAGAACCCCGGCGAGGGGAGUGAAAAAGAACCUGAAACCGUGUACGUACAAGCAGUGGGAGCACAGGUUUACCUGUGUGACUGCGUACCUUUUGUAUAAUGGGUCAGCGACUUAUAUUCUGUAGCAAGGUUAACCGAAUAGGGGAGCCGGAGGGAAACCGAGUCUUAAUUGGGCGUUAAGUUGCAGGGUAUAGACCCGAAACCCGGUGAUCUAGCCAUGGGCAGGUUGAAGGUUGGGUAACACUAACUGGAGGACCGAACCGACUAAUGUUGAAAAAUUAGCGGAUGACCUGUGGCUGGGGGUGAAAGGCCAAUCAAACCGGGAGAUAGCUGGUUCUCCCCGAAAGCUAUUUAGGUAGCGCCUCGUGAAUUCAUCUCCGGGGGUAGAGCACUGUUUCGGCUAGGGGGCCAUCCCGGCUUACCAACCCGAUGCAAACUGCGAAUACCGGAGAAUGUUAUCACGGGAGACACACGGCGGGUGCUAACGUCCGUCGUGAAGAGGGAAACAACCCAGACCGCCAGCUAAGGUCCCAAAGUCAUGGUUAAGUGGGAAACGAUGUGGGAAGGCCCAGACAGCCAGGAUGUUGGCUUAGAAGCAGCCAUCAUUUAAAGAAAGCGUAAUAGCUCACUGGUCGAGUCGGCCUGCGCGGAAGAUGUAACGGGGCUAAACCAUGCACCGAAGCUGCGGCAGCGACGCUUAUGCGUUGUUGGGUAGGGGAGCGUUCUGUAAGCCUGUGAAGGUGGCCUGUGAGGGUUGCUGGAGGUAUCAGAAGUGCGAAUGCUGACAUAAGUAACGAUAAAGCGGGUGAAAAGCCCGCUCGCCGGAAGACCAAGGGUUCCUGUCCAACGUUAAUCGGGGCAGGGUGAGUCGACCCCUAAGGCGAGGCCGAAAGGCGUAGUCGAUGGGAAACGGGUUAAUAUUCCCGUACUUGGUGUUACUGCGAAGGGGGGACGGAGAAGGCUAUGUUGGCCGGGCGACGGUUGUCCCGGUUUAAGCGUGUAGGUGUGUGUUCCAGGUAAAUCCGGUUCACUUUAACACUGAGGCGUGAUGACGAGGCACUACGGUGCUGAAGUAACAAAUGCCCUGCUUCCAGGAAAAGCCUCUAAGCAUCAGGUAACAUCAAAUCGUACCCCAAACCGACACAGGUGGUCAGGUAGAGAAUACCAAGGCGCUUGAGAGAACUCGGGUGAAGGAACUAGGCAAAAUGGUGCCGUAACUUCGGGAGAAGGCACGCUGACACGUAGGUGAAGUGAUUUACUCACGGAGCUGAAGUCAGUCGAAGAUACCAGCUGGCUGCAACUGUUUAUUAAAAACACAGCACUGUGCAAACACGAAAGUGGACGUAUACGGUGUGACGCCUGCCCGGUGCCGGAAGGUUAAUUGAUGGGGUCAGCGCAAGCGAAGCUCCUGAUCGAAGCCCCGGUAAACGGCGGCCGUAACUAUAACGGUCCUAAGGUAGCGAAAUUCCUUGUCGGGUAAGUUCCGACCUGCACGAAUGGCGUAAUGAUGGCCAGGCUGUCUCCACCCGAGACUCAGUGAAAUUGAACUCGCUGUGAAGAUGCAGUGUACCCGCGGCAAGACGGAAAGACCCCGUGAACCUUUACUAUAGCUUGACACUGAACAUUGAGCCUUGAUGUGUAGGAUAGGUGGGAGGCUUUGAAGUGUGGACGCCAGUCUGCAUGGAGCCGACCUUGAAAUACCACCCUUUAAUGUUUGAUGUUCUAACGUGGACCCGUUACCCGGGUUGCGGACAGUGUCUGGUGGGUAGUUUGACUGGGGCGGUCUCCUCCUAAAGAGUAACGGAGGAGCACGAAGGUUGGCUAAUCCUGGUCGGACAUCAGGAGGUUAGUGCAAUGGCAUAAGCCAGCUUGACUGCGAGCGUGACGGCGCGAGCAGGUGCGAAAGCAGGUCAUAGUGAUCCGGUGGUUCUGAAUGGAAGGGCCAUCGCUCAACGGAUAAAAGGUACUCCGGGGAUAACAGGCUGAUACCGCCCAAGAGUUCAUAUCGACGGCGGUGUUUGGCACCUCGAUGUCGGCUCAUCACAUCCUGGGGCUGAAGUAGGUCCCAAGGGUAUGGCUGUUCGCCAUUUAAAGUGGUACGCGAGCUGGGUUUAGAACGUCGUGAGACAGUUCGGUCCCUAUCUGCCGUGGGCGCUGGAGAACUGAGGGGGGCUGCUCCUAGUACGAGAGGACCGGAGUGGACGCAUCACUGGUGUUCGGGUUGUCAUGCCAAUGGCACUGCCCGGUAGCUAAAUGCGGAAGAGAUAAGUGCUGAAAGCAUCUAAGCACGAAACUUGCCCCGAGAUGAGUUCUCCCUGAGACUUAAAGUCUCCUGAAGGAACGUUGAAGACGACGACGUUGAUAGGCCGGGUGUGUAAGCGCAGCGAUGCGUUGAGCUAACCGGUACUAAUGAACCGUGAGGCUUAACCUUACAACGCCGAAG